rnacentral:rRNA from 1 species
UACAGAGGGUGCGAGCGUUAAUCGGAAUUACUGGGCGUAAAGCGUGCGCAGGCGGUUGUGCAAGACAGACGUGAAAUCCCCAGGCUCAACCUGGGAACUGCGUCUGAUACUGGAUGGCUUGAAUCCGGGAGAGGGAUGCAGAAUUCCAGGUGUAGCGGUGAAAUGCGUAGAUAUCUGGAGGAAUACCGGUGGCGAAGGCGGCAUCCUGGACCGGCAUUGACGCUGAGGAGCGAAAGCCAGGGGAGCAAACGGG